AAUGCCUAGGGAACUGCCCAGUCGAGGGGGAUAACAGUUGGAAACGACUGCUAAUACCGCAUACGCCCUACGGGGGAAAAGAGGGGACCUUCGGGCCUUCUGCGAUUGGAUGUACCUAGGUGGGAUUAGCUAGUUGGUGAGGUAAUGGCUCACCAAGGCGACGAUCCCUAGCUGUUCUGAGAGGAUGAUCAGCCACACUGGGACUGAGACACGGCCCAGACUCCUACGGGAGGCAGCAGUGGGGAAUAUUGCACAAUGGGCGCAAGCCUGAUGCAGCCAUGCCGCGUGUGUGAAGAAGGCCUUCGGGUUGUAAAGCACUUUCAGCGAGGAGGAAAGCUUAAGCGUUAAUAGCGUUUAGGUGUGACGUUACUCGCAGAAGAAGGACCGGCUAACUUCGUGCCAGCAGCCGCGGUAAUACGAGGGGUCCAAGCGUUAAUCGGAAUUACUGGGCGUAAAGCGUACGCAGGCGGUUUGUUAAGCGAGAUGUGAAAGCCCCGGGCUCAACCUGGGAACUGCAUUUCGAACUGGCAGACUAGAGUCUUGUAGAGGGGGGGUAGAAUUUCAGGUGUAGCGGUGAAAUGCGUAGAGAUCUGAAGGAAUACCCGGUGGCCAAAGGCGGCCCCCCUGGGACAAAGACUGACGCCUCAUGUAACAAAAGCGUGGGGGAGCAAAACAGGGAUUAGAA
rnacentral:rRNA from 1 species